rnacentral:rRNA from 1 species
UAUGUAGGGGGCAAGCGUUGUCCGGAUUUAUUGGGCGUAAAGAGCGUGUAGGCGGCCAUACAGGUCCGUUGUGAAAACUGGAGGCUUAACCUCCAGACGUCGAUGGAAACCGUGUGGCUAGAGUCCGGAAGAGGAGAGUGGAAUUCCUGGUGUAGCGGUGAAAUGCGCAGAUAUCAGGAAGAACACCCGUGGCGAAGGCGGCUCUCUGGGACGGUACUGACGCUGAGACGCGAAAGCGUGGGGAGCGAACAGG